AGAUAAGUUAUUAAGGGCGCACGGUGGAUGCCUUGGCACUAGAAGCCUACGAAGGACGUUACUAACGACGAUAUGCUUGGGGAGCUGUAAGUAAGCUUUGAUCCAGAGAUUUCCGAAUGGGGAAACCCAACACGAGUUAUGUCGUGUUAUCGAUAUGUGAAUACAUAGCAUAUCUGAAGGCAGACGCGGGGAACUGAAACAUCUUAGUACCCGCAGGAAGAGAAAGAAAAAUCGAUUCCCUGAGUAGCGGCGAGCGAAACGGGAAGAGCCCAAACCAACGAGCUUGCUUGUUGGGGUUGUAGGACACUCUAUACGGAGUUACAAAAGAACAAAUUAGACGAAUCAUCUGGAAAGAUGAAUCAAAGAAGGUAAUAAUCCUGUAGUCGAAAGUUUGUUCACUCUUGAGUGGAUCCUGAGUACGACGGAACACGAGAAAUUCCGUCGGAAUCCGGGAGGACCAUCUCCCAAGGCUAAAUACUCUCUAGUGACCGAUAGUGAACCAGUACCGUGAGGGAAAGGUGAAAAGUACCCCGGAAGGGGAGUGAAAUAGAACUUGAAACCGUGUGCUUACAAGUAGUCAGAGCCCGUUAAUGGGUGAUGGCGUGCCUUUUGUAGAAUGAACCGGCGAGUACGAUUUGAUGCAAGGUUAAGCAGUUAAUGUGGAGCCGUAGCGAAAGCGAGUCUGAAUAGGGCGUUGAGUAUUUGGUCGUAGACCCGAAACCAGGUGAUCUACCCAUGACCAGGCUGAAGUUCAGGGAACACUGAUGGAGGCCGAACGACUUACGUUGAAAAGUGAGCGGAUGAGUUGUGGGUAGCGGAGAAAUUCCAAUCGAACCUGGAGAUAGCUGGUUCUCUCCGAAAUAGCUUAGGGCUAGCCUUAAGUAAUGAUUAUUGGAGGUAGAGCACUGUUUGGACGAGGGGCCCUUAUCGGGUUACCGAAUUCAGACAAACUCCGAAUGCCAAUCAAUUUUAUCUUAGGAUAGAACGCGGGUGAUAAGGUCCGUGUUCGAAAGGGAAACAGCCCAGACCACCAGCUAAGGUCCCAAAAUAUAUUUAAGUGGAAAAGGAUGUGGCGUUGCCCAGACAACUAGUAUGUUGGCUUAGAAGCAGCCAUCAUUUAAAGAGUGCGUAAUAGCUCACUAGUCGAGUGACACUGCGCCGAAAAUGUACCGGGGCUAAACAUAUUACCGAAGCUGUGGAUUGUCCGUAAGGACAGUGGUAGGAGAGCGUUCUAAGGGCGUUGAAGCAUGAUCGCAAGGACAUGUGGAGCGCUUAGAAGUGAGAAUGCCGGUGUGAGUAGCGAAAGACGGGUGAGAUCCCGUCCACCGAUUGACUAAGGUUUCCAGAGGAAGCUCGUCCGCUCUGGUUAGUCGGGUCCUAAGCUGAGGCCGAUAGGCGUAGGCGAUGGAUAACAGGUUUGAUAUUCCUGUACCACCAAAUUUCGUUUAAGCGAUGGGGGGACGCAGUAGGAUAGGCGAAGCGUACUAUUGGAUUGUACGUCCAAGCAAUGAGACUGAGUGUUAGGCAAAUCCGGCACUCUUAAGGUCAAGUUGUGAUGGGAGAGGAAAUUGUUUCCUCGAGUCGUUGAUUUCACACUGCCAAGAAAAGCCUCUAGCUAGAAUUUUGGUGCCCGUACCGCAAACCGACACAGGUAGUCAAGAUGAGAAUUCUAAGGUGAGCGAGCGAACUCUCGUUAGGAACUCGGCAAAAUGACCCCGUAACUUCGGGAGAAGGGGUGCUCUUUAGGGUUAACGCCCAGGAGAGCCGCAGUGAUAGGCCAAGCGACUGUUUAUCAAAACACAGGUCUCUGCUAACCGUAAGGUGAUGUAUAGGGGCUGACGCCUGCCGGUGCGGAAGGUUAAGAGGAGUGGUUAGCUUCGGCGAAGCUACGAAUCGAAGCCCCAGUAAACGGCGGCCGUAACUAUAACGGUCCUAAGGUAGCGAAAUUCCUUGUCGGGUAAGUUCCGACCCGCACGAAAGGCGUAACGAUUUGGGCACUGUCUCAACGAGAGACUCGGUGAAAUCAUAGUACCUGUGAAGAUGCAGGUUACCCGCGACAGGACGGAAAGA
rnacentral:rRNA from 1 species